rnacentral:hammerhead_ribozyme from 1 species
AUCCGGCUGAUGAGUCUCAAGUAAAACGAAACACACGUUCUGGAU